rnacentral:misc_RNA from 1 species
CUGUCCUGCGCAGGCUGCACUCAAGUUCCUGCCGUUCUGCGCGGCCUCCUAAACUCAAGUUCGCCACGCCACGCUCGGAUCGUAACCGUCCUGCGCUCGCUCCUGCUGUUCUGCGCGGCCUCCUACGCUCAAGUUCGCCAAGGUGAGAAGCCAGCUCAUGCGCUCGGAUCGGUAACCGUCUGCGGCUCCUGCGCUCAAGCUCGUCCACGGCUCCUGCGCUCAAGCUUGCCAAGACCCUUGAGUAGAGAGAGGCAGGAACAACAAUGGAUGUUGUUGCUGCACAAACAAAGGCUAUUGCUGAAAAAAUAUCAGAUUGGACAAAUAUUGUGUUGGCAUAUGAACCAGUUUGGGCUAUUGGUACCGGCAAGGUUGCAACUCCUGCUUAGGCUCAGGAGGUUCAUGAUGGUCUGA